GACGAACGCUGGCGGCGUGCUUAACACAUGCAAGUCGAACGGAAAGGCCCUGCUGUUGUGGGGUGCUCGAGAGGCGAACGGGUGAGUAACACGUGAGUAACCUUCCCGUGACGGUGGGAUAACUUCUGGAAACGGGGGAUAAUAGCGGAUAGGAGCUACUGCUGCAUAGGGGGGGAGGGAAAGAUUCGGCGGUUGGGGAUAGACUCGCGGCUUAUCAGCUUGUUGGUUGGGUAGUGGCUGACCACGGCUUUGACGGGUAGCCGGCCUGAGAGGGUUACCGGCCACAUUGCGACUGAGCUACGGCCCAGCCUCCUAUGGUACGCAACAGUGGGGAGUAUAACACAGUGGGCUGAAGCCUGAUGCGGCAACGCCGCGUGCGGGAUGACGGCCUUCGGGUUGUAAACCGCUUUCGCCUGUGCCGAAGCGUGAGUGACGGUAAUGGAUAAAGAAGCACCGGCUAACUACGUG
rnacentral:rRNA from 1 species